rnacentral:lncRNA from 1 species
UAUAUAUUAUACAGUGGUCCGUCGUAUACAAACAAUAACCUUUCCUUUUUCUUACGUGGCGGGAAAUAGUAUGUGUGUGUGUUAGGCUAUCAUCAAAACGAUUAUGGAGCUAUCUCAUUCGGCUGAAAUCAGUGAAUUUAAUCUUACUUCAGAGACAGAUGGAAUAUAUUUUAAGCACGUUAGAAGAAAGCCGCUGAAUUCAAGUCAGAAAAAAAUUAUUUUGAAUAUGUUUACGAAACAAUGUGAACUGUAUUCGAUUAAAACCAUUAAAGAGGUUACAAAGGACGUUUCAGAGACUACAGGAAUAUCGGAAAGAAGUGUAUUUUUAAUAAGGGCUGAAUUUUCUCGAACUGGCAAAGUAACAACGCCGA